GUUUAAUUGCAAAAAUCCUUCAAAAUCAAUAUAUAGUUAAAAGGAAUUUGGUUGCAAAUGGCAUUAUGCUAAUUUAAAAAUAGAUUGAAGUUGGCUGAAACUAUUAGAAAAAUUAUCUCCCUUAGUGGAACUCUCCUUAUUUAAAGGAAUUAAAAGUGUGAUGUCUUAAUGGCAGACGAAAAGAUGAAGUGUUGAUUUGAGGACAAUAUUAUGAUAAAAGAUCUCUAGCUUUGUUGAAAGAUUGUAAAAUAGAUUCAGCUGAAUAUACAAGGUAUUUUAAAUGCAGCACAUAAGACAUUUCUGUCCGUGAAACGCUUCUUAUCGUUAACCAUCUUGAACCAUACAGCUGUUAUGGGACUUGGACAGUCUAAUUUCUGUAAACAUACCUACAUGUACAUGUAUGUGUCAAACACAGAAAUAUACUUGGUCUACACUGGAAAAGGAAAAAAGAACAUGUUGUCACCCAUACCUGAUAGGGGAGACGCUAUUAUGCAAACCCGUUAACCGAGAGGGUCAAGCUGAAUGAGGUUUUGCCUGUUGGAACUGGUAUAUGCAAAAGAUGUAUAGAAACACACUUUAAAAAAUCAGUAUGGAAGUAAAGCUGAAGGAAGAGCUUAAAGCAGAAAUGUGUUCCUAUUGACAAGGCAACAAUUGAAUCAAACCAAACAGAGCAAAGAGUGGAGGAAAAUGGAAGAAGUCAUGGACUUAACAGAAAACAUAUGACCUAAUACCUGCA